CAGAGAAUAGUUUAAUAAAAAUAUUAGUUUUGGGAAUUAAAGAUAAAAGGAUUUUUUUCUCUGA
rnacentral:tRNA from 1 species